rnacentral:rRNA from 1 species
UACGUAGGGGGCAAGCGUUGUCCGGAAUUAUUGGGCGUAAAGAGCGUGUAGGCGGUCCGGUAAGUCAGCUGUGAAAGUCAAGGGCUCAACCCUUGAAAGCCGGUUGAUACUGUCGGGCUAGAGUCCGGAAGAGGCGAGUGGAAUUCCCGGUGUAGCGGUGAAAUGCGCAGAUAUCAGGAGGAACACCGGUGGCGAAGGCGGUUCUCUGGGCAUGUUCUGACGCUGAGGAGCGAAAGUGUGGGGAGCGAACAGG